GGCAGAGGAGAGAGAUGGGCAGAUUUUAGAAGUAUCUUGGGAGAAAAUGGACAGGUCUUGUGCGAAGUGGGAUAUGAAUAGAAGAUGAAGGAGAAGAUGAAAUGGCAUCUGCUUAUAUUCAUGGAAUGACCAUCUACAUACUUGGAGUGAGAACAAGGCACAGAUUUAAUCCACAGAGCCCUGAAACAUACAAGAGGGCUGCCAAAAGCAGCAGAGCAGAAGCAGAAGCUGCAGUGAAGAGAACUCUGUGAAUAAACAGAUAAGAGAACUCAACAUUGACAGGUUCCAGAAAGGAUCAGCAACGCGUAUUUAAUCAGGUAUCCACGCUGAACGCUAAACUUCAUAUAUAGUAUGAUCUCAAUUAUGUAACUCACACAAACAGGAAAAAAAAGAAGAAAUUCACCAAAAAAUAACAGUGGCUCUCUGAGUUGCAAAAUCGCCAACUUCCCUGCCCUCUUCAAGUUGAAUCCAGUCACAUGACUUCUUUGGCCAAUGAGAUGGGAAUGUUUCACUCUGAUGAAGUUUUAAGAAUCAGUUUUGUAAGUCAGAAAUUUGGGAAGGUUCUGCUGGGUCAUUCUUCCGUUCCAUGUAUUCGAAUGUUCCACAUAUGAGGCCACUCAGUAGUGUUUUCUGGUGGAGAAGCUGGUCUAGGGAGUUCAAGAUGACUUCCCUCACAUACCUGGCACCUGGGUCGUAAUAGCUGGAAGGUGGAGGCUCAUUUGAUUCUGUUAACUGGAGUGCCUGCUUCAAGUCUCAAGGAAGAACAAAAAGAAAAAAGACAAAAAGAAAUGCCUGCUGUCUCAGAGGAAAGUAAAUACUGUUCUCUGAGAGACUUUGAAGUCAAAGAAAAGACUCAGUUAUACAUCAAUACUUUCUUGGCACACAAAGAUCUCCCUGCCACCAUUAAGUAUGCCCUCCAAUAUGAUAAAAAAAAAAAAAGAAAAAAAGAAAAAGAAAAGAAAGAAAAAGUGUAUAGCUUUCUGCCUCGUGAAUUCCCCAAGCUAAGUUGGCCAACUCCAAGUCUCAUCAUAGCAUUUGGAAUCAUUUAGAAUCAGUUUCUGCGCCUGGAGAAGAGCAGGAAGAAAAGUAGGAGAGGAAAAGAAGAGAAG